AGAGUUCGAUCCUGGCUCAGGAUGAACGCUGGCGGCGCGCCUAACACAUGCAAGUCGAACGGCACCUAUCUUCGGAUAGAAGCGAGUGGCGAACGGCUGAGUAACACGUGGAGAACCUGCCCCCUCCCCCGGGAUAGCCGCCCGAAAGGACGGGUAAUACCGGAUACCCCCGGGCGCCGCAUGGCGCCCGGGCUAAAGCCCCGACGGGAGGGGAUGGCUCCGCGGCCCAUCAGGUAGACGGCGGGGUGACGGCCCACCGUGCCGACAACGGGUAGCCGGGUUGAGAGACCGACCGGCCAGAUUGGGACUGAGACACGGCCCAGACUCCUACGGGAGGCAGCAGUGGGGAAUCUUGCGCAAUGGGGGGAACCCUGACGCAGCGACGCCGCGUGCGGGACGGAGGCCUUCGGGUCGUAAACCGCUUUCAGCAGGGAAGAGUCAAGACUGUACCUGCAGAAGAAGCCCCGGCUAACUACGUGCCAGCAGCCGCGGUAAUACGUAGGGGGCGAGCGUUAUCCGGAUUCAUUGGGCGUAAAGCGCGCGUAGGCGGCCCGGCAGGCCGGGGGUCGAAGCGGGGGGCUCAACCCCCCGAAGCCCCCGGAACCUCCGCGGCUUGGGUCCGGUAGGGGAGGGUGGAACACCCGGUGUAGCGGUGGAAUGCGCAGAUAUCGGGUGGAACACCGGUGGCGAAGGCGGCCCUCUGGGCCGAGACCGACGCUGAGGCGCGAAAGCUGGGGGAGCGAACAGGAUUAGAUACCCUGGUAGUCCCAGCCGUAAACGAUGGACGCUAGGUGUGGGGGGACGAUCCCCCCGUGCCGCAGCCAACGCAUUAAGCGUCCCGCCUGGGGAGUACGGCCGCAAGGCUAAAACUCAAAGGAAUUGACGGGGGCCCGCACAAGCAGCGGAGCAUGUGGCUUAAUUCGAAGCAACGCGAAGAACCUUACCAGGGCUUGACAUAUGGGUGAAGCGGGGGAGACCCCGUGGCCGAGAGGAGCCCAUACAGGUGGUGCAUGGCUGUCGUCA
rnacentral:rRNA from 1 species